rnacentral:ncRNA from 2 species
CCUUAGGGUAGAGGUGCUGUAACUAUCAGUAUUUAUUUUUAGUCGGCGGACGUUGAAAAAUAAAGAAAGGAGCUGCAGCCGAAAAAACUAGUUUGGCGAAACUGUUUUUGGCUUUGUACAUAAUAUGUUCAAAGCUGUCAUUGAAAAGGCAUAUUCAUUUUAUAUGAUUUAAUGGAUAUACUUUUAGUGGAGAGCUACAAAGGUA